UCCCUUGUACCUCCUCUUCUUUCAAGAUGCACUCCACCACCCUCUGAAGCCCUAGCCCACUCCACUGGUCUCCGACCUUAUUAUACCGGAAAUCAUGGCCUUUCAGGCCCUGUGUAACCUAUAUCUACCCUCACUCACCCUUAUCUUCCUUUUUCAUGAGGAUUCAAGGUCUGACCUUGAAGACCCAGGCUUAGAAGCUCUCUGAUUCAAGUUUUGUGGGCAUUUUCGGCUCAUCUCUGGCAAGUCCUAGC
rnacentral:lncRNA from 1 species